rnacentral:lncRNA from 10 species
ACACCUAAAACAUACAAUCUGUCAAAGGAAAUAGCUGUCUACACAGGAGACCCUGUCUUACCUACCCAGUUAUAAGCUAAAACUCUAGGGGAAAUGUCUACCCAAAUUCCUCACAAAUUGAAGAGAGGAAUGCAGCAAGUCUAAAGAAUGGGCUGUCCAGGAAAGACUUAAGAUGAUAAUAUUAAUAAAUUACCUAAUAUGAGAAUAUACUGAGUGAUACCUACAUGCCUAGCAAGAGCUUAGAACUAAAUUAAUGACAGCAUAUAGAAAAUUAAGCAAAUAAAAGAAAUACUAUUAUUAAUCUAGU